CGGAUCGGAGUCUGCAACCCGGCUCCGUGAAGCUGGAUUCGCUAGUAAUCGCGCAUCAGCCAUGGCGCGGUGAAUACGUUCCCGGGCCUUGUACACACCGCCCGUCAAGCCAUGGGAGCCGGGGGUGCUUGAAGUGCGUCGCCGCAAGGCGCGCCCUAGAGCAAAACCGGUGACUGGGGCUAAGUCGUAACAAGGUACC
rnacentral:rRNA from 1 species